rnacentral:ncRNA from 1 species
AAAAAGGUACUUCUGUAACACGCAGCCCGGCCGCAGAGAAGGCGGGGUGGCUGAAACGCCAAUGG